rnacentral:rRNA from 1 species
GACAGCAGUAGCCACGGUAAUACGGAGGAUCCAAGCGUUAUCCGGAAUCAUUGGGUUUAAAGGGUCCGUAGGCGGUCUUGUAAGUCAGUGGUGAAAGCCCAUCGCUCAACGGUGGAACGGCCAUUGAUACUGCAGGACUUGAAUUAUUGGGAAGUAACUAGAAUAUGUAGUGUAGCGGUGAAAUGCUUAGAGAUUACAUGGAAUACCAAUUGCGAAGGCAGGUUACUACCAAUUGAUUGACGCUGAUGGACGAAAGCGUGGGUAGCGAACAGGAUUAGAUACCCGAGUAGUCCCUGUCUCUUAACA